GAUGAACGCUGGCGGUAUGCUUUACACAUGCAAGUCAUACGGAAGUUAGUUUCGGCUAACUUCAGUGGCGGACGGGUGAGUAACACGUGAGAAUUCGCCUUUAGGAGGGGGAUAACAGGGGGAAACGCCUGCUAAAACCCCAUAUGCCUUCGGGUCAAAAGAGUAAUCUGCCUAAAGAGAAGCUCGCGGCUGAUUAGCUAGUUGGUGGGGUAAAGGCCUACCAAGGCGACGAUCAGUAGCUGGUCUGAGAGGACGAUCAGCCACACUGGAACUGAGACACGGUCCAGACUCCUACGGGAGGCAGCAGUGAGGAAUUUUCUGCAAUGGGCGAAAGCCUGACAGAGCAAUACCGCGUGAGGGAAGAAGGCUUACUGAGUUGUAAACCUCUGUUACCUAAGGAGGAAGAUCUGACGUUACUUAGGAGACGAAGCAUCGGCUAACUCCGUGCCAGCCGCCGCAGUAA
rnacentral:rRNA from 1 species